UACGAACUGUGCGAACGUUAUUCGGAAUCACUGGGCUUAAAGGGUGCGUAGGCGGCGACUCAAGUCAGGUGUGAAAUCCCCCGGCUCAACCGGGGAACUGCGCUUGAAACUAGGUUGCUUGAGUGAGGUAGGGGUGUAUGGAACUUCCGGUGGAGCGGUGAAAUGUGUAGAUAUCGGAAGGAACGCCGGCGGCGAAAGCGGUACACUGGGCCUUGUCUGACGCUGAGGCACGAAAGCUAGGGGAGUGAACGGG
rnacentral:rRNA from 1 species